ACGUAAGGGGCAAGCGUUAUCCGGAUUUACUGGGUGUAAAGGGAGCGUAGACGGCUUAGCAAGUCUGAUGUGAAAGGCAUGGGCUCAACCUGUGGACUGCAUUGGAAACUGCCAGGCUUGAGUGCCGGAGAGGCAAGCGGAAUUCCUAGUGUAGCGGUGAAAUGCGUAGAUAUUAGGAGGAACACCAGUGGCGAAGGCGGCCUGCUGGACGGUAACUGACGUUGAGGCUCGAAAGCGUGGGGAGCAAACAG
rnacentral:rRNA from 1 species